CCCCGCGCAAGCCGCGCUGCGGGGAGCGGCGGGACCGGGGGAGCAUCGCGGACGGAGCUGGAUGCGUGAGCGGGCUGCGGGGUCAGGGGAGAUGCGGCCCCGGUUCCCGUCGUGGCUCCGCGGUUCCCUCCUCCUCCUCCCCCGCCGCGGCUCCUGAUCCAUGGUUUAUAGCCAGAAGAGGCACGGGAUGAAGCCAGAGCUGGGAAAGGUCCCUGUUGGAAGCAGGGAUGUGGAUGCUCGUGGAGCCGCGGUUGAUGGGCUGCACACCCGGAGCCUGGGCAGUGGCCAUGGGGAAGCUUUCACCGUGCAGCAGCUGUUGGGUGGCUGCUGUGACAAGGGGACACUGCAGGGAAAAGCAGAAGAAAGUCGGUUGAGUCACUCCUGCUCCUGCAUCCAGGCUCUGAGCCACGCGCUUUGCAACUGGGAAAGACUAAGAUCUUAGUUCUGGCGUUCCUCAUGCCUGCUGCAGCCAGAACACAGCCUGUGCCUGCUCUUCGUGGGGGCGUUGGGAAUGCUGGCAUUGCAGCUGUGUGGUUUUAGGUCACUUCCAGAGAAGCGGAUUCAUUCUGAUGGAAGCAGCCAACUGCCUCGGCACGCAGCCGUGGUGUGAGGCAAUGAAGGAUGGUUGCCACCUCACAUCGCGUCGCUGUUGGAGGUUUUGACCUUGUUUGUGUCUGUUACUGCUGGAUUUACCUUCACUGACGUUCAAACUCUGACCCUACCAAGGUCGUUAUCAGGUCCCUCUGGAUUUCAGUGGCCAAAUGACCAAAACCAGGGAUCCCAGCAAGGGCUUCCCCUGCCUAGCGCAAAAGAAAGACCAACCUCGGCUGAACUAACUCAUCCCACUUCAAUCCCUCUCUUCAGGAGCACGUUUCGCCUUCCUGGAACUACUUGGUUCAUUAGAAAUCAGCUUGUGAAUGUAUCAGGAAUGUAAAGCUCAUAUUCCCACAGGCACAUGGGGACAUGGUGGAAUGAAUGUGUAUAUUGUAUCUCUACAAUACAGCCUCUGGGGUUGUCACACUAUUUGAAGGAGGUUUGAAACAGGGACUUCACUAACUGAGCAACUAUAUGUAGGUUUCUUAUCCUAAAAUACAGUGCUAUACCUACUCAGAUAUUAUUUAGAAAGCAUUUGAUAAGUAGCAUCAUCUGCACUGAAAAUUAAAUUAAGGAUGUUAAAGAGGAGUUUAAUAAAACAGGUUUUGGGAAAAAAAAAACAAACAUCUUUGAAGAUUCACAUUUUAGUUCAGAUUUCAGAUGCAGAUUUCCUCAAGGAUGCUGGCAGGAUGCAUUUCUCCUUUGUAUAUGUAACAUUUGUCCAUAUAGGCCAUUAUACAGCUCCUUUCAAGCUGAGUCUUAUCCUGGAAUACAGCAAAAGCCAGAUUUAAGAUAUGAAACUGGAGAUGACCACAUUUCAUACUGCAUAAAAUGCACCUCUGGAGUUUUCAGUUCUUCUUUUUUGAUGUAUUACAAAUGUAUUUAUAAAGUA